AUUUUCAUGGCAACUGUCUGAGUCUCCAAUUAUUAGAUCCAACCUAGAGGGCAUCAGAAAGGAAAUCCCUGGGAUAGUUCACAGGAGAAAGAGAAUCCAUUUCCACCACCAUUUGGAAUGGAAGCAAGUCUGGCCUCAUUCUUUGUCUGGGGACCCUUGAAAACCCACCUGUCCAACAACUCCAAGAUUUGGUGGCAAGGAGACUGUUAGCAACAGAAAAAAGACAAGGAAGCUGAAGUUACAGGAAGUUGCUGCUUCACAGGACAAGGUCUGCCGCAGGACAAAAGGAUCUACAGUUUCAAAAAGCUCUGAAGCUGUGACCCUGGAACUUGUGGAAUCACAG